GUCGAUACUGUCGAGUUCGUCGGCAAACGCUGGCUGCUCUACACUGUACUUCUUGGCUAGAAGAAUUGGCAUAUCGCUAAGGGUCUUUUGUAUGCGCAUUUCACUAUUGCUUUCGGCUGAAAAGUAAAUUUAUAAUCAUUAAAAAAAAAAAACUUUUUUUUUGUGUCUUUUGUAGGUAACGGAAUCUUUGAGCGUCAUUUUCAACGACUUCAAGGAAACGGUAUUGUUACAUGACAAAUAAAAAAAAAAACAUAACAUAUUAUGAAAGGUAUAUUUAUUUACCUAAGAUUCGGUAUGCGAUUAUAGCAUCUUCAAUGGCGGUAGCAAAUAACUCUGAAUAAAGAUAUUUUAAGCUGAAACAAAGGUAAUAGUUUUAUUUUAUUUUCCAUUUCUUUCCAUUUAUUUUACAUUAAUUAUUCUAAAACAUGUGUUUUAUUUCAAUUAGGCAGAGACGCUGGACAUAAAAAUCCGAAUCCAACCAAGUACCUAGGAAUAUCGUCUUAAGCCAUCUAAUGCGUAAAAUGAUUUUAGAGCUAGCCAUAAAAUUCGCGGGGUAAAGUCAGUCAGACUCCGAGAAUAAAAUCAAUAUACAACAUGGAUAAAAACAAAACGUUAACUAACCAAUAUUUAUUUUGACCGGCUGUCGUUUUUGGUUUGAUCUGAAAUUGCAAAGUUUUAAAGCCACGCACACAUGACAAACAUUUCGGUACCAAAUCGUGUACGGUGGGCAGAGCAGUGCUGGCAAGUUGAAUGCCCUUUUUGAGCAAUUUAUCACCAAAUAGAAUGCAGGGAAAAUACCACGAUGGGGCGAAGAUCUUCGCACAGCUGGUGUUUUGCUCGGAAGAAGAACGGUCCGAAUGUUCUUUCUUGUUCGGAACUUAAACCGGUUUAUGUCUAUGGCUUAUAUUUAUAUUCAUGAAAUUGUCGCUAGUCCAGUUCUGGUUUGUCCGGAUUUCUUCUCUUAUAGAUACCACUUUCAUAAAGACUACAAACCUAUUAUCAAUAAAUAUAUCAUAAAUAUUCUGUUUUCGAAUUUGCCGUAGGAACAAAGACAGAAUUCACAAAAUACAUAAUUUACAUUUAAUGCCUUUGUACAUAAUUUUCCUAUUACUCUGUACUAUGUCUUCCUUUUUGUGUGUACAUAAAUAAAUAAAUAAAUAAGUAAAUAAAAAAAAUAAAAAAUAAUAAACUACGAACCAGA